rnacentral:rRNA from 1 species
GCUGACCUCGGAUCAGGUAGGGAUACCCGCUGAACUUAA